UUCCCUUCUAAAUUCGAUUUCUAAGUAAAGGAAAAGUAGUUUAUCGUCACAAGCUGGACAUUAUCUUCUUGGAAUAUUUACAUUUAACACUAAAAUAUGUGUAUAAGCUAACAUUAAAAAAUGUGAACGAUUGACUUCGUCCUCAAAAGGCUGGAUAAUAUUUUAUUUUUUCUAGUUAUUUAUUUUCUGACAAAAAAUAUUCAAACCUAUUCAUCAAAAACAAAAUUUAAAAUAAUUUUUCACAAAAAAAACUUUUUUUUCAAUUGCACAUUUGCUGGCUCUUUUACCCUAUAUUUAGCGUCAGAGGGGUAAAGCGACCAAAUAGCGGGGUCCACGGUCCAACCAAUGUGAGUAUCGCGGCCCAUACAUACAAUUUGACAAUCUUGCCAUCAGGCUGGUGGUUGUUUAUUUUAAAACUGUCACUGCUUGUUGGGAGGAGAUUGCUGUGAUGGAACAAAAAUCACCUUCCACUAUCAUAACGCCUCAUCGAAGGCGUUACGGUUGUACUUUUGGUUGGUACAUAGACUAAAUAUAUAUAGAUACGCCACUCCCCUGAUGGGGCUGGCGACACUACCGCCACGCCAAAAUUGCACCUGGUGGCAAUUCACAGGUACAACUUUUCGAUGUUUCCAAAGGGAAAGUGAGUUUUCCCCAGUUUCAGUUCAAGUGUUUCGGUUGCAUCGUAGUAACAGCUGCUUUUAAAACUUUGUUUAUUUUCUGUCAACAUUUCAACUUCAACUUCAAAGCGUUGGAUCCAAGUUGGAUCCUACAAUAUCAACUCGUUGCGGGCGUUUCCGACCACCAAAAAUCCCGCGCGCAGAACCUCCGACGAUACGGAGUGUUCGCAGUGGAGACGUAUCAGCAAGCAUCGUUAAGGUGGACCUGUCACCAAUUCAACCACGGCAAGAGGAAACUGCACAGCGAUCUAGAUGACCUUCGGCGCUUCUAGCAGCCACGGAUUCCUUCGUGGGAACAGAACUCUAGGAAAGCUUUUCUCGGGUCUGAUUCCUCAAGAACCACUCUGCGUGGCUACCUCCGUUGCCGGAAUAGUCGCCCAUUUGUCGGGCAAAUUGGAACACGUCUAAUCUAAAUCACAUCACAUGCUAGACACUACGAUGAACCAAAUUGCAUCGAUUUUUGCUGCAACGUGUUUCUUUUAGUAUUUUAUUGAUUUUUAAGCAUUCAAUAUAAUAAUCAUGACUCAAAUAGAAAUAUUAUCAAACAA